AAUAGCAUACUCAUUUGACGUUAGCUGCAGAGAAAGCACCGGCUAACUCCGUGCCAGCAGCCGCGGUAAUACGGAGGUGCGAGCGUUAAUCGGAAUUACUGGGCGUAAAGCGCAUGCAGGUGGUUUGUUAAGUCAGAUGUGAAAGCCCGGGGCUCAACCUCGGAAUUGCAUUUGAAACUGGCAAACUAGAGUACUGUAGAGGGGGGUAGGAAUUUCAGGUGUAGCGGUGAAAUGCGUAGAGAUCUGAAGGAAUACCGGUGGCGAAGGCGGCCCCCUCGGACAGAUACUGACACUCAGAUGCGAAAGCGUGGGGAGCAAACAGGAUUAGAUACCCUGGUAG
rnacentral:rRNA from 1 species